rnacentral:rRNA from 1 species
GAUGAACGCUAGCGGGAGGCCUAACACAUGCAAGCCGAGCGGUAUUUGUUCUUCGGAACAGAGAGAGCGGCGCACGGGUGCGGAACACGUGUGCAACCUGCCUUUAUCUGGGGGAUAGCCUUUCGAAAGGAAGAUUAAUACCCCAUAAUAUAUUGAGUGGCAUCAUUUGAUAUUGAAAACUCCGGUGGAUAGAGAUGGGCACGCGCAAGAUUAGAUAGUUGGUGAGGUAACGGCUCACCAAGUCAAUGAUCUUUAGGGGGCCUGAGAGGGUGAUCCCCCACACUGGUACUGAGACACGGACCAGACUCCUACCGGAGGCAGCAGUGAGGAAUAUUGAACAAUGGGUUAGCGCCUGAUCCAGCCAUCCCGCGUGAAGGACGACGGCCCUAUGGGUUGUAAACUUCUUUUGUAUAGGGAUAAACCUACUCUCGUGAGAGUAGCUGAAGGUACUAUACGAAUAAGCACCGGCUAACUCCGUG